AGGUGACUUUUGGGCAAACACUUGAAAGAAGAGUGGGGAACCAUGGAGAUAGUUGGAAGAUGAACCUUCUAUGCAGAGGGAAAAGAAACUGAGGAAUCAAGGACUUCAGUGACUUGCACCAAGCUAUACACUAGUUCGAGGACAGCAUCUAUCAUAUUACCUGGCACAUAUUUUGUGGAAACAGAAGUGAUAAUUCUGGUUAUGACAACAUCACCACCACCACUACCAACAACAACAAAUAUUUACUGUGUAGCUAUCAUCUGUUAGCUACUUUUCAUACACUAAUCCUUGUAACAACGUAAUGGGAAUGGUAUUAUCAUUGCUUCCAUUUCACAGAUGA
rnacentral:lncRNA from 1 species